rnacentral:rRNA from 1 species
UACGUAGGGUGCAAGCGUUGUCCGGAAUUAUUGGGCGUAAAGAGCUCGUAGGCGGUUUGUUGCGUCGGCUGUGAAAUCCCGAGGCUCAACCCCCGAGCCUGCAGUGGAUACGGGCAGACUAGAGGUAGGUAGGGGAGAAUGGAAUUCCCGGUGUAGCGGUGAAAUGCGUAGAUAUCGGAAGGAACACCUGUGGCGAAAGCGGCUCACUGGACCAUAACUGACGCUGAGGCACGAAAGCUAGGGGAGCAAACAGG